UACGAAGGGGGCUAGCGUUGCUCGGAAUUAUUGGGAGUAAAGGGUACGUAGGCGGAUUGUUAAGUUAGGGGUGAAAUCCUGGAGCUCAACUCCAGAACUGCCUUUGAUACUGGCGAUCUCGAGUCCGGGAGAGGUGAGUGGAACUGCGAGUGUAGAGGUGAAAUUCGUAGAUAUUCGCAAGAACACCAGUGGCGAAGGCGGCUCACUGGCCCGGUACUGACGCUGAGGUGCGAAAGCGUGGGGAGCAAACAGG
rnacentral:rRNA from 1 species